UACGGUGACCUGGAGGAGGUGCUGGCGCGGGCGGCGACGGCGGACCGGACGGUGAUCAUGACGCAGAUCAACGCGGCCUGGACCAAGCCGGGCUCCCUGCUCGACCUCUUCUUCGAGAGCUUCCGGACGGGGGAGGGCGGCGUGGCGCGGCUGCUCGACCACCUCGUCAUCGUCACCAUGGACCCGGCGGCGUACGCCGGGUGCCAGCUCGUGCACCGGCACUGCUACUUCCUCAGGACCACCGGCGUCGACUACCGCGGCGAGAAGUUCUUCAUGAGCAAGGACUACCUCGAGAUGAUGUGGGGC
rnacentral:lncRNA from 1 species